AUUGAACGCUGGCGGCAGGCCUAACACAUGCAAGUCGAGCGGCAGCGGGGGAAAGCUUGCUUUCCCGCCGGCGAGCGGUGGACGGGUGAGUAAUGUCUGGGAAACUGCCUGGUGGAGGGGGAUAACUACUGGAAACGGUAGCUAAUACCGCAUAACGUCUUCGGACCAAAGUGGGGGACCUUCGGGCCUCAUGCCAUCAGAUGUGCCCAGAUGGGAUUAGCUAGUAGGUGGGGUAACGGCUCACCUAGGCGACGAUCCCUAGCUGGUCUGAGAGGAUGACCAGCCACACUGGAACUGAGACACGGUCCAGACUCCUACGGGAGGCAGCAGUGGGGAAUAUUGCACAAUGGGCGCAAGCCUGAUGCAGCCAUGCCGCGUGUAUGAAGAAGGCCUUCGGGUUGUAAAGUACUUUCAGCGGGGAGGAAGGUGUUGUGGUUAAUAACCGCAGCAAUUGACGUUACCCGCAGAAGAAGCACCGGCUAACUCCGUGCCAGCAGCCGCCGCAGUAA
rnacentral:rRNA from 1 species